UUGACGUCUGUGCCCAGUGGGUAGAGACAAACCCCACCUAGAGCAUCUUUACUAAGCAAGUGCUGUCUAAAAGUCAAAGCCUUGCAAUGUCUCUGAAGUAGGCGUGGAUAUCGUGGAGACUGAGACAGAGUGGUGAACGAACAUUCCUUCGCGUCAAAGGAGUUCUAUAAACACGGACCCGGAACACUGUCAUCUCGUUGCAAACAUUUUUGACCUCUUGAGGAGAAAAGGGAAAGCAUCCAUUGCUCAGGUUCAACUUCAACCAACUCUUGAGGGUUUUCAAAUUACUUUCACCUGACUGAUCCAGACUGGACAACAGCAUGCCAAUCCUGGAGAGAGAGCCGCCGAAAGGCCGCAGGGAAAGCUAUGUCCUGCCCAAGGUGCCUGUCCCACCCCUGAAGCAAACUCUGGACAUGUACCUGACCAGUAUUAAACACCUGGUGAAGGAGGAACAGUACCGGAAGACUAAGUCCAUUGUGGAGAAGUUCGGAGAACCAGGCGGCACUGGGGAGCUGCUGCAGAAGAAGCUACUGGAGAAGAGCGACAACACACACAA